GGAAGCUUGUCCGAGCGGCCGAAGGAGCCGGUCUUGAAAACCGGUGUGCGGCGACCCCGCACCGAGGGUUCGAAUCCCUCAGCUUCCGC
rnacentral:tRNA from 1 species